GGGCAUGGUGUAAUGGUUCACAUACUCGGUCAACCUCUUACUAUCGGAAUCCCGAGUAGGCCGGUUCGAGUCCGGCCAUGUCCA